rnacentral:rRNA from 1 species
UACGUAGGGUGCGAGCGUUAAUCGGAAUUACUGGGCGUAAAGCGUGCGCAGGCGGCGCCGCAAGUCAGGCGUGAAAUCCCCGAGCUUAACUUGGGAAUGGCGCUUGAAACUACGGUGCUGGAGUGUGGCAGAGGGAGGUGGAAUUCCACGUGUAGCGGUGAAAUGCGUAGAGAUGCGGAGGAACACCGAUGGCGAAGGCAGCCUCCUGGGCCAACACUGACGCUCAUGCACGAAAGCGUGGGGAGCAAACAGG